rnacentral:rRNA from 1 species
AACGGCGAGUGAAGCGGCAAGAGCUCAAAUUUGAAAGCUGGCCCCCUCGGGGUCCGCAUUGUAAUUUGCAGAGGAUGCUUCGGGAGUGGCCCCCAUCUAAGUGCUCUGGAACGGGCCGUCAUAGAGGGUGAGAAUCCCGUAUGGGAUGGGGUGUCCGCGACCAUGUGAAGCUCCUUCAACGAGUCGAGUUGUUUGGGAAUGCAGCUCUAAAUGGGUGGUAAAUUUCAUCUAAAGCUAAAUAUUGGCCGGAGACCGAUAGCGCACAAGUAGAGUGAUCGAAAGAUGAAAAGCACUUUGAAAAGAGAGUUAAAAAGCACGUGAAAUUGUUGAAAGGGAAGCGCUUGCGACCAGACUCGCCUACGGGGUUCAGCCGGUAUUCGUACCGGUGUACUUCCCCGUGGGCGGGCCAGCGUCGGUUUGGGCGGCCGGUCAAAGGCCCUCGGAAUGUAACGCCUCUCGGGGCGUCUUAUAGCCGAGGGUGCCAUGCGGCCAGCCCAGACCGAGGAACGCGCUUCGGCACGGACGCUGGCAUAAUGGUCGUAAGCGACCCGUCUUGAAACACGGACCAAGGAGUCUAACAUCUACGCGAGUGUUCGGGUGUCAAACCCGUGCGCGCAGUGAAAGCGAACGGAGGUGGGAACCCUCACGGGUGCACCAUCGACCGAUCCUGAUGUCUUCGGAUGGAUUUGAGUAAGAGCGUAGCUGUUGGGACCCGAAAGAUGGUGAACUAUGCCUGAAUAGGGCGAAGCCAGAGGAAACUCUGGUGGAGGCUCGCAGCGGUUCUGACGUGCAAAUCGAUCGUCGAAUUU